AGGAGUGGGCGCAGGGCCUCUGAGGAGGCUCUCCCUGGGCUGGCCUGUGUGGCUUGGCCUCUCACAGGCACGUCGGGGCUGAAGUGAGCUGGCAGUUCCCCAUUUAGGCGUUUUCAGCGGGGAACUGCUCUGACAGUUGACUGUGAUGACCGCAACCUUCGGAUACUUCUGAUUUCCAGUAACGUCUCCAGGAGAAGCUAGCUAAGUGACAAAAGAUGACCCGGUCCGCCUCCCAUUCCCAAGCCCUCAGACCAGAAUACAGUAGUUCCCCUGUCCCGCAGAUGGGCUUUUUGGAGUUCCAAUGACCUACCCUCAGCCUUGAUUGCGCCCGGAAGCAAGAGCCCCACGCUGCGUCAGAGCGUGGCGACGUUCGCCUUACCUCAUCCCACGUAGGCAUUUUCUUUCUGCCGUCCUCACACGGAGAAGGGGAGAAACUUUUCUCAGGAGGCCCAAGCAGACUUCCCCCUCUCAGCUCCUGUUGGCCAGAAUGUGUAUCUUGCUACAAGAGAGCUUGGAAAGCAAGGUCCGUGGUCAAAGGAACCAGACUGACACAAAGCGAAAAUCAAACAAAGCUUUAUUUUGCGCCAAGCAUCGAAAAUCAAACUGACUGGUAGGGGCCAUCUCUUACGAAGAGACGAAGACGAUGACCCCGACAAGGCCACUCCCAAGAAGGCCGCUCUGGAUGAGGCUGCUCAGGACGAGGCCACUCUGCAGAUGAGGCCACUCUGGACGAGGCUGCUCCCAGGACAAGGCUGCUCCCAGGACAAGGCCGCUGGCCAACGAGGCAGCUCCCCAGACGAGGCCACUCGAAAAGGUGACGACGACCCCAACAAGGCCACUCUGGAUGAGGCCGCUCGCUGAUGAGGCUGCUCUGGAUGAGGCCACCCCCAACGACGAAAAGGCAACGAUGACGAGGACGACAACCCUGAUGACGCAGAGACGACGACAACGAGGACGAUAGCCCUGAUGACUCAGACUCUACUCCCCAUGAUGCUGCUCCUGACGAGGCCGCUCCAGAUGAGGCCGCUGCCUACGAGGCCGCUCCCCAGACAGGGCCGCUCCCGGGAAUGAGGUUGCUCCGACAAGGCCACUCCCUGGAUGGGGCCGCUCCCCAGAAUGGUGCCGCUCCAGUGAGGCUGCUGGUGGCAAGGCUGCUGGUGGUGAGGCUGUUGGCCGGGGCGUUGCUGCCUAUGACUACGAUGACCAGGACGA